rnacentral:rRNA from 1 species
GAUGAACGCUGGCGGCGUGCCUAAUACAUGCAAGUCGAGCGAACAGACGAGGAGCUUGCUCCUCUGACGUUAGCGGCGGACGGGUGAGUAACACGUGGAUAACCUACCUAUAAGACUGGGAUAACUUCGGGAAACCGGAGCUAAUACCGGAUAAUAUAUUGAACCGCAUGGUUCAAUAGUGAAAGACGGUGUUGCUGUCACUUAUAGAUGGAUCCGCGCCGCAUUAGCUAGUUGGUAAGGUAACGGCUUACCAAGGCGACGAUGCGUAGCCGACCUGAGAGGGUGGUCGGCCACACUGGAACUGAGACACGGUCCAGACUCCUACGGGAGGCAGCAGUAGGGAACCGUCCGCAAUGGGCGAAAGCCUGACGGAGCAACGCCGCGUGAGUGAUGAAGGUCUUCGGAUCGUAAAACUCUGUUAUUAGGGAAGAACAAAUGUGUAAGUAACUAUGCACGUCUUGACGGUACCUAAUCAGAAAGCCACGGCUAACUACGUG